UAAAAAAAGAAAAAAUCUCUAUUUCAAAAGAACGUUUUGCCCCAACUCACCGUACACAAAACCCUAUUCCCGUCUCCUCCUAAUUUCAGCCAUGGUAAAAGAGCAGCUGGUUAAGGUCUUUUCUUUAAUGAAUGUACCUAUCGUGUAACUUUUUGUUCUAUUAUCAAAUUCAUGAGUUAUUAUGUUAGCUGACAGAAGUUUGGAUAUCUAUUUCUCUUGUUUCGGAUUAGCCAAGAAUGUUAUUUCAAUAUGAAAUAAAAUUUGUUGCUUUCGUUCAAUUUCUAAUCUGACGAUUUUCUAUUUGAGUUUAUAAGCCUACUCCUGCAGAUUCUCACAUGAAUCUGAGAUACAGAGAUGAACGUGCAAGUGAGAUUAGAGGAAAAGUUUAGAUAACCUUCUUUGCUUAAUCUUGUUUCUCCUUUUCUGUAAGUAGAUUAUACCAACCUUUUCUGUAUCUCAGUGAUGUUAGAAAGUAGAUUAUCAUAUUGUGUUUCAAGCUAUGGAUACAUUUGAUGGUUCUAAGUUCUACUUUAGGGACUUUCAAAAUACUAGUUUAGAUAUCCUUUUUAAGUAUUCAUGUUUGGUUUUGUGGCGUCAAACUGUAUUUUUCUGAAUCUAAGAUGCUUGUACUUUGUACUCGUUCCCCUUAUCCUUUCUUUAGUAAGUUGUAAGCCAUUUUGUGGGCAAAUAACGUCAUCUCCUCACAUUGACUUAUUCUUUUAAUUGAUCUUCCUUUGUCUACUCCAAUACAUUAUUUUUCUGAAAGAACUUGGCAACUAAUCUUGAAAUUAUUGUUUAGUAAUCCAUUAUUCUUUUUAUUUUUAUUUUUUAUGUUUAUUGAUAGGAUCUCUGGCUGUGAGUGAUAUUAUUCUCUUUGGUCUUAAUCUUUUAAAUUAUUAAUAGAUUAGCUAAGCUACUAGAGCCAGUAAAGUUUCAAAUACUACAACAAAUCUAAAGUUGGCAUGUGUAUAAACAUCAGUUUGUGAUGAAGGGACCAUUGGAAUUGACUUGUAAAAUCUCGUUGGUCUUACUUUGUAUUUGUGUUUGAAUGAAGAGGUUGUCAGUUUGACUUUUUAUUUAUUUUUUAUAUGGUAAAUGUGUUUAUGGCUGGUAGGAUGAUGUAAUCACAUUUCUUCCUUCUUGCAUUAACUGCUAUAAUUUCAGUAGUAGUCUUAUAGUUUGGUAAGUCUAAAUUAGCAAUGGUGUAGAAUCUAUUUGUCAUGGAAGAAUUGUCUUUGAAAAUCUCAUUUGUCUUACUUUGUGUUUGAAAUGCGAAGAUUGACAACUUAAUGUAGUUUAAUUUUUUCUUGCAUCAACUGCUAUAAUUUUGGUUUUAGUUUUUUCUCCUUUUCCAUGUAUGUUAUAGUGAGGACUGGAUUAGAGGGACCAGGACUUACAGUUGCUCAAAAGAUAUGGUACUGUGUUGCAACAGUCGGUGGUCAAUAUAUAUGGGCUCGUCUAUAAUCAUGUUCUUCUUUCGAUAGAUGUUGUUGUCACUGAACUCUAAACAUGUGAAAUAAUGUCACAAUUUGAGGUGAAUGUUGUGAGAUUCCCUUAUGCAGUCACGAGAAUAGACAAGAAUUCAAUUACUGAAGCAUCGGAGCUUGAUGUGUUAGUUUUAUACUUAUUUGUAGAAGCUUUAUUACCCAACGGAAAGAGCUGCUAAAAUCAAGCUUAGAAGACAUGAUCUGCAUACUCAAUUGUCACUUGAGGAAAAAGAGAUGCUUUCAUCACGACUACAAGUAAAAAUGUCGAGAUCAGUCGGUUUUUGUCGCUUGACUGAGCAUGCCAAAGAAGCAUAAUAUUCUUGAUUUGGUGUGGAAUUGCCCACACUAAAAGCUCUGACGAUAAAGGAGUCUUCUGUUACCAAAAAAGCUAAGAUUCAAACAUAUUCACUCUUUAUGCUUCUAAUACUCUAUAGAGGACCGUAAUGGAAGCAAAGACAGAAAUACUUGAUGGUGGGUUGUGGAUUUGUGUAGUAUUUCAGAGUAAUAAGGUUAGAGAUGACAACAAGACCUUAUUUCACGCUGGAAUUUCACAUGAUGACAAUUUUGAUGCUCUUGGUUUUUCCCUGGAGCCUUAGCCCUCUCGAGCUUCCCCACCUCUAGGUCCAGACGGUCGUUCUCAUGUACUUCCUUGUGAGACACCUCAACCACUUACGAGGAAAAUGCCGGCAAUUGAAUUCGAAUUGUGGCCAUAAGUAAACUCGAUCUAUUAUAGUGAAGGAUGAUUAGUUUUUCUACUAUUGUCAUAUAUGUUUGAAUGGAUUUGGUUUUGUGGAAUUUAUUGAUAUUAGAGAUGUUGAAGUAAUCACUUUUUGAGUAUUGGUUGUACAAGACAUUUCUCGAAUUUUAUUUGAAAUAUAUAGCUUCGAUUUAAUUAUUAGGUAA